AGGACAUUUGCAAGAGUUUGUCUCUCUGAUUGGCUGGGCAACCAGGUGCAGAAUCCUGUUUUCUGAAGCAGAACAUUGCACAGAUCUAGGUUGCAGAACGUUAUUCUGCUGAGGAUACUUGGGGAGGAUAAAUGGAGAAGUAUCUUUUGCCAGCCUCACUGAUAAUCCUAUGGCUUCAUCUUGACAAAGCGAGCAGCGCAUCGAACGUGGAACAGAAUCCUCAGUCCCUGCAUGUUCAGGAAGGAAAGAGCACCAACUUCACCUGCCGUUUCCCUUCCAGCUCUUUUUAUGCUUUACACUGGUACAGAUGGGAACCUGCAAAAAGCCCCCAGAUCCUGUUUUUGUUCAGAUCAAAUGGGGAUGAAAAGGAGGAAGGACGAGUUAAAGGCACUCUUGAUACUAAGAAUGGUUACAGCUACUUGUACAUCAAAGGAUCCCAGCCUGAAGACUCAGCCACAUACCUCUGUGCCUUUGGCACAGUGCUCUUCAGGCACCUGCAGCCCAUACGAAAACCCAUGGCUGGUGCUACUCUGGUACCUGUGUGGAUGAAAAGCCAUGUAUGGGGUGGAAAAGACACAUUCAAGGAAUUAUAA